ACAGAUAAAACGAGACGCCGCUGGCAGAAUUUCGGAUUGCAAGAUUCACUGCAUUCUUUUCGUUUUCAAUUCACUUUCCCAAAUGUAAACCCCUUCUGUAACAAUCCAAUUAAAAAUUCGCCAUUUCCGAUAUUUGCAAUCUCAGCUGGAUAGAUUGUGAUUUUUCUGAGUGAAUAGAUGAUUUCGAGGUUUUUCUCCUUGUUCGAUACAGAAGGCAAUGCAUAUUAUGCUACCUGUUCUGCUUCUUAUUUUGCUUCACGUCUAAGUUUGGCUGCCGGUAUAUUUGAAGGGACUCCAACUGGAAAGGCCUUGCGGCGGGUGGAUAGAUAAACAACCAUCUAGAGAUACAGUUGAAGUUUAUGUUGGAUUAUUGUUUACAGUACUUGGAAACAGAGGAAUAUUAUAAGCACGUUCUGUUCUUCGGACUCUUGAUGAUUUCUGGUUAUUGGUUCCCUUGUUUUCUUUUAAGAGGAUAAAGACCGUUAUUUGGUUUAAUCAACUGUCACUAGUUGGUGCAUGAGCAUCUACUUGUAGAUUUUGGGGGUCAAGUAAAGAGUGAAACGAGUAAGCUACUCUGUCAGAAUGGGCUUGCCUCAAGUUCCAUCAGGAAAUUUAGCUGAUGAAGUGUCUACGUCAGGGAGCUCAAUGAUACAGAUACCCACACGGUUUGGUGGUGCAGGAAGCUUUGGUGUGGGUGAGAGGCACAUUAGGCAGUCAAACAAUUGCAUGACUGAUGACUUUCAAUGCUCUUCAUUGGGGGAACGUGCAAAGGAUUGUGGUACGGUUAGUUUGCCUCAAGAUGGUGUGCCGAAUUUGCAAAAAUUGAGGAUUGAAUCUAUUGACAAAACUAUCUUCUUGCCGCGUCGUGGUGAAAAGAACAUUCAAACUCCUGCUUCAAGGAUCGUGGGUUUUGAACCUAAUGGUCUCGUGAACUGUACCAAUAAGGAUGAAGACAAACAUCUGGAUAGUAUAAGUAGCAAUGCAAAUGAGAAUUCGAGUUCGAUAAUUAGGAAAAGGCUAUUGUCGCCUUUGAAUGGCAUGGCUCUGCCCGAUGAAUUUGGGGGUGAGCGUCUGGAAAUUGGGAACACAGCCCACCUCAAGUAUUUCCACUUAAGAGGAGGUAGUCAUGGCAUUACCCUGAAUGAGAAUAAAAAAGCUCACAUUGGUAAUUUGGACCAUGGCGGUCCACCAAGUUGGUCUAUACCUAUCUUUUCAAGGAGUAGUAGUCUAUCAGAAGAAGAUUGUGACGUCAACUGCAGGAUCAUCACUGAUGGGCCCUUGUUAGAAAAUCAUGGAUGUAUGUAUCAAAAUCUCAUCUCAUCAUAUAACAGUAUUACAUCUUGUACUGGAAAAACAGAAACACCCUCUAAGGAUAGAGUAGUGGGUAUAUCACGGGAUGCUCUAGUCUCCACUCCGUUGUCUCUAUCUCCUCUUGGACCAAGAUUUUGUGGGAGAAUAAGAAAUUCUCAAGGAUCUAGGGAUCCCAAAAGGGAGUUUGAUGAGAGCUGCAUAACAUUUAAAGAUGUCGAACAGUCUCUUGAAGGAACUAUUCCGAGCUUUGUGUCGUUUCAUAGGGAUGAGAAUGUCAUCAUAUCAAGCAGAGGGCUUGAAGAUGAUGAAGAUUUCUUGUUGAACUUUGAUCAAUUAACACCGGAGAGAUUGAUAUCCGUUCACGGACAUAAUAGAAAGUCUACUACUCAAAAUGCAAAAAUAGGUAGAUCCCUCAGUGGGUUAUUAGUCAGAAGGUCGUUAGUUGGCUCAUUUGAGGAAUCACUGUUAUCUGGUAGGUUAGCGUCUGGGAUUGCCAACCAGAAAAUUGAUGGUUUCCUUGCAGUACUGAAUAUUACCGGAGGAAAAUUCUCACCUCAUCCACAGAAACUUCCGUUUUCUGUAACUAGUGUUGAUGGUGAUAACUACUUAUUAUACUACUCAUCUAUAGAUCUUUCUGUACAUUCCUCUUCAAACAAAUGUGAAGGUCCAACACUGAAGAGAAGCCUCAGUGCAAAUGGCUCCUCUGAUGACAAAGCUCGCCUGAAAAUACCUAUGAAGGGCCGGUUGCAAUUGGUCCUUAGCAAUCCAGAAAGAACACCAAUUCAUACAUUCUUCUGUAACUAUGAUUUGAGUGACAUGCCUGCUGGCACAAAGACAUUUCUAAGACAAAAGGCCACUUUGGCUGUGGAUAGAGGUGGACAGAAAGAUUCUGGUACAAUGAAUGAGGGAUCACUCCCCACGCUCUCUGUAUCAGAAUGCUACAGGUUCCAGUGUUCUGCGUUAUGCAGUACAUCUCCGUUUCAUUUGCCCCCACUCGAAGAAGAGCUUGAAAAAUUGUAUGAAAUCUAAAUCCGGUCCAUCCUCCCUACCAUCAAGUGACAACAUGGAUUGUCUAGGAGAACGCCGGUUUUACUUGUACAAUGAGAUGAGAGUUGUGUUCCCUCAGCGCCAUUCAGAUUCUGACGAGGGCAAGUUGCAAGUGGAAUACGAUUAUCCCUCAAAUCCAAAGUAUUUCGACAUCAGUCAAUAACAUCCUUGUUUCCAUGAUUUCCUGAUCCAGUAUAUAUUUCUUUGUACAUACAUGAUGCUGCUAAAUGGGUCACCAAAACCCACAUCACAUGUAAAUUCAUGCCAAUAAUAUGUUGCUUGUGUUGUACAAACUGCACAUUCAACAUCUAUUUAUCCACAAAAUAAAUUUAUCGGUU